AGUGCAUCUCCAAAACCAAAAUACAAAGC
rnacentral:sRNA from 1 species